AGAAGAUCCUGGGUUUUGCUAUAGCCUAUAGUUUUUGGUACCUGUGAGAACAAAAUAUCACACCAUGACAAUAGAAUUUUGCAUUGACCAGCCAUGGUGCUGGCAAGAAUAUGGGUAGGGCUAGAGAGAUGUUAUAUGGGAGAGAAGAGAUCGAAUAAUAUGUGGGCGUUAUUAUAGACAGUAUUAUGCAUAGAUGUUAAAAUUGUUUCUUGCCCAUGUUAUGGAUCCUUAUCAUGAUGAUUGUGAAUUUGACAACUGUUCAUAAACCAUCAGUCAAUGAAUUCCAAGGUCAUUAAUAAGUAGCCUAGGGAAAGAGGAAGCAAAAUUUUGAGGUGGUUUGGCCAUGUGAAGCGUAGACAUACGGA
rnacentral:misc_RNA from 1 species